rnacentral:rRNA from 1 species
UAUUGAGGCGUAAAGGGGCUCGCAGGCGGUUCUCUCAAGUCUGAUAGUAGAAAGCCCCCGGCUCAACCGGGGAGGGUCAUUGGAAACUGGGAAACUUGAGUGCAGAAGAGGAGAGUGGAAUUCCACGUGUAGCGGUGAAAUGCGUAGAGAUGUGGAGGAACACCAGUGGCGAAGGCGACUCUCUGGUCUGUAACUGACGCUGAGGAGCGAAAGCGUGGGGAGCGAACAGGAUUAGAUACCCUGGUAGUCCACGCCGUAAACGAUGAGUGCUAAGUGUUAGGGGGUUUCCGCCCCUUAGUGCUGCAGCUAACGCAUUAAGCACUCCGCCUGGGGAGUACGGUCGCAAGACUGAAACUCAAAGGAAUUGACGGGGGCCCGCACAAGCGGUGGAGCAUGUGGUUUAAUUCGAAGCAACGCGAAGAACCUUACCAGGUCUUGACAUCCUCUGACAACCCUAGAGAUAGGGCUUUCCCUUCGGGGACAGAGUGACAGGUGGUGCAUGGUUGUCGUCAGCUCGUGUCGUGAGAUGUUGGGUUAAGUCCCGCAACGAGCGCAACCCUUGAUCUUAGUUGCCAGCAUUUAGUUGGGCACUCUAAGGUGACUGCCGGUGACAAACCGGAGGAAGGUGGGGAUGACGUCAAAUCAUCAUGCCCCUUAUGACCUGGGCUACACACGUGCUACAAUGGACAGAACAAAGGGCUGCGAGACCGCAAGUUUAGCCAAUCCCAUAAAUCUGUUCUCAGUUCGGAUCGCAGUCUGCAACUCGACUGCGUGAAGCUGGAAUCGCUAGUAAUCGCGGAUCAGCAUG